GAAAGCGUUAGCAUCCCACCUUGGGAGUACGCCGGCACGGUGAACUCAAAGAAUGACGGGGCCCGCACAAGCGGAGGAACAUGUGGUUUAAUUCGAUGAUACGCGAGGAACCUUACCCGGGCUUGAACUGCCAGCGAACGAUACAGAGAUGUUGAGGCCUUCGGGGCGCUGGUGGAGGUGCUGCAUGGUUGUCGUCAGCUCGUGCCGUGAGGUGUCGGCUUAAGUGCCAUAACGAGCGCAACCCUUUUCGUCAGUUGCCAUCAGGUGAAGCUGGGCACUCUGGUGAUACUGCCACCGUAAGGUGUGAGGAAGGUGGGGAUGACGUCAAGUCAGCACGGCCCUUACGUCCGGGGCUACACACGUGUUACAAUGGGGAGUACAGAGAGUCAACCGCCGGCAACGUCGGUUUAAUCAUGAAAGCUCUCCUCAGUUCGGAUUGGGGUCUGCAACCCGACCCCAUGAAGCUGGAUUCGCUAGUAAUCGCGCAUCAGCCAUGGCGCGGUGAAUACGUUCCCGGGCCUUGUACACACCGCCCGUCAAGCCAUGGAAGUUGGGGGUGCCUGAAGUGCGUGACCGCGAGGAGCGCCCUAAGGUAAAACCAGUACUGGGGCUAAGUCGUUGCAAGGUAACCUA
rnacentral:rRNA from 1 species